UACGGCCGCAUCACGUUGAAACCCCCGUUACCGUACGAUCACCGAAGUUAAGCAACGUCGAGUCUGGCCGGUAUCUAGAUGGGUGACUGCUUGGGAAUACCAAGUACUAU